AGAAACUUAGGAUCAACCCAAACCGAAGGCCUUCAAAGCCUUAAACAAGAGUUAAACCCUCUUAGUUUCUG
rfam:Balearica pavonina gibbericeps contig86490, whole genome shotgun sequence.